CUAAUCAGUUUCACCUGUGUCCCAGAGUCUGCCCCUCACUUGUAUAUUUAAGUUACUGAACUAUGGACUUUUUUCGCUGGAUUUUCCCCCCCCUCUUUUGCACCGCCAUGUUUGGACUUCCACCUCUGACCUUUGAACGCAUCUCCAUCCAGCUGGAAGCAAAGACAGUCCUUCCUGUGCUCGGUCACUGUGUGAUCCUUUACUUUACUGCCUGGAGAGCUGCCUUGUUGCAUCAUCAUGAGCGCCCACAGCACAGUAGAUUUCCUACAUUUCCUCUCAGGUGGAUGGUCCAUCUUCCCUUUCUCUGUUUUUUGUUGCAGGCAUCCAUCAAAAAGCCAGCCAUUCCCCUGGUGACUGUCGGUGGAAAAUAACAGCAAGGAGCUUCUAUGUACCACAGCCGACACGCAGAGGAGGCUAGGACACCUCGCACUGUGAGAAACACAAGUCUUCACCACAGUGAAAUAUAUCUGAGAGAAUGCAUAAUGUUUGUGGAUGUGUGUGUUUGCCCUCGUGUGUAUGUAUGAAACACUCAUACUGGCUGCUGAUGCUGAACAAGUUUUAAGACCAAGAGGCAAAUCAGUCAGUGCAGAGAGCACAUCUGAUGCAGUGAGACGGGAAGAUUUGUAGUGUUGGUGUUUUCUCUGCAUAAUAUCAGGCUCCAGUGGCUGUGUGAUCUGUGUCUUAAUUUGAUUUUUAUAUGACAUUGUAUUACAUUGAUUGUAGG